AAAAUUACUUUAUUUUUUUUUAAAACUCCUAUUUUUCCCGAAUCUUACAUGCUGCAAUCAAUUUUUCCCUAGAGGCGAAGGCGCUUGAAGCUAAAGUCGACCAUGGACCAGUGGGCCUCUUCAAUCCAAGACACGAGUGAGUCAAUGACGGGCGGGGUUAGACGCGGUGGUUGUUGAACUAGAUGUUGGUGUAGAUGCGAGAAGGGGAAAGGUUGGUCGUAGAAAUUGUCGGGGCCGAGAGAAACAAGAUGAAGACGGUGGUGACGGUGCUGUAAACAACUCAGGAUGAUUGGUGUUUCGGAUGUAGGUCCCGAAGUAAACUUGAACUCAAUGAUCUCCCCUAAACGGCGACUUGCACGUUAGCACUCUGACGCUCAAGUUAGUAAUGUCACAAUAAUAUUCAAGGUGAAAGUAAUUAGAUCAAAAGUGGCCUACCUGACCAAUCCUUUAUGUAUUUAUAAGCCACAUAUGUAACCAUGAACUGCGACU
rnacentral:lncRNA from 1 species